GUUCAGCUGUACAAAUUCAGUCUGGAAAAAAAAUGAGACCUGGAGUAAUCAUAUUCCUCAUGUAUCACCAGCUUUUAGCAGCUGUCCCGGGGACUAUUGUGACGCAAACGCCGCGGCAGUUCAUGGAGAAUUCCGAGGAGUCCAUUGAGAUUUUUUGCACACACAGUGACAGCAACUUACAGUACAUGAACUGGUACCGGCAGCUCCCAGGAAAAGGCAUUGAGCUCAUUGCCAAUAUUGUCACCAAUGGGAACCCAAACUUUGAAACAGGUUUUGAUGAGAGAAGGUACAGCAUUAUCUACACAAGGUCAGAUCAUUUCAAAGGUUCGUUCAAGAUCAGUCUCCUGACGUCAGUUGACAGUGGCACAUACUUCUGCGCUGCUACCCCACAGUGAUACCAUUCUGAUUCUGCAAGGGUAAAAAACCCACACCACCUUCUGACAUCCGUUGAGCAGUCGAGCCUCAACGCUCUGAGCACUGCGCAUAGUUCGAAACCAUUUCCUGUGUCUUCUCCUCUUGGUUUAGCUGCUCAUCUACAAUCACCUCCAAAACAAGAUUACAGAAGACAGCCUGACUUAGACACGACCACAUACCUGUCCUAUUUCUUCUGUAUCCAGCUGACAAGUAUGACACAAAUGACAAGUAUGGAUCACAUUGUUUUUGAACCAUUUUGAGAUUUUGAACCACAAAUUUAGCAAAUUAAAGUAUUGGCAAAAAACAUACAAUAUACUUCUGAUGAAAAUACCAGCAUAAAAAAGUAGGAUGAAUUUCUUCACAACUUCCAUGUUUCAAGUUCAUCAGCACUGCUUUUCAUAAAAGAUGCCAAUGUGUUCAUCUUUUUUGUGUGUUUUGUCUGUCUGUUUCGGCAGUAUUGAUCCAGAAUGAUGGGCAUAUUUAUCAGACACUGCAGGCUGUGAUGAAGAUGGCUGGGGACUCCACUAUUAUCUUUUACUCUCAACCUUACCAGGUCACCCUAACUGUAGGCAAAGGCACACAUUUAUUUACAGACACUCUGACAGAACGAGUUGUACAGUUUGAAAAUGAUUUUAGUACAGGGAGAUCUGAAAUAAAGAAGACCAAGCAGCACUCUGGAUUGUUUAGGACUAAAACCAUACAGAGAGUUCUAUACACUUUUAGGCUGUUUGGGGUGGCAGAAUGGUACAACCCUACCAUCUUUCAAGGAUGGAUAUCAUUCAGGAAGGGGUUUGGCCAGUAGAGUGAUAGUUCCUCCACCCCCUCUCAAAAAGAUUCACUUUUCUGUUACAUGCAGUCCUGGACAACCGCUUUGAGAAUGAAUCUGGCGUACUGUCUUUCAGUGGUACUCAGCCUGACUAGUGUUCAGUGUCAGUCUCAACAGAAGGUCUCUCAGUGGCCCUCACAGACGGUUGUGACCCAGGGCUCCUCUGUGGAGCUCCAGUGCAGUCAGAGUGGCUCUGACCAGAACAUGUACUGGUACCGCCAGCAGAGCUCUACAGGGAUACAACUCGUCAUAUUUUUUGUCAACAUGAAUGAACCAGAGAGGGGAAAGGACAUCAGUGGUAGAUUUACCAGCAGCAGAGCGAAGACAGAGAGUACCACUCUGACUAUCAGUCAGGCUGAGGAGUCAGACACAGGCGUUUAUUUCUGUGCAGCAAGUCCCACAGCAGUCAGUGCUGUCCCACCUCCUGUAUUAAAACUUCACAUGCAGUCAGCAUUAGUCUUUAAAGCGCAAAUCUUCUGUAUUGCCCUUAUUGAUAAUCUGCUUUCCCAGAAUGCUGACACUUUUAAUCACAUAAAUAUAAUGUGAUUCUGGUUUUUGUGACAUUUCAGGAAUUUUUAACUUCAUUUAAUGCAUAACUUUAUUCUUUAAGUCUCCAAAUUCAUGCCUAUCACCCUGAAUGAAAUGUAUUCGAUAAUGUAAGUAACAUACUGUCUUGUUGUUGUAGACAUGUCCUGUAGGGGGAGCCACAUCACCAUUUGCAGUGAACGCCCAUGUUGUUUUCGAUAUAACUGCAAAUCACACAUCCGUUUUUUUUUCUCGCUAAGAUGCUCCCUAAUAACCUCAUUGCCUCAUUCACUUACACCAGAGAAGAUGGAACGGAUAAGACUGAUACUCCUCUUUGUUUACCCCUUUUGCAUAAGUAUGUUAUAAGCACUGGGUUCGGCUGGAGUGCCGAUGUGCAUCAGACUCCUCUCCAGGUCAUCACAAACCCAGGGGGUCUGCUGAAUAUCUCCUGCGCUCACAAUGACAAUACCCUUCCGUACAUGUACUGGUACCGACAACUGGGAAAAGGAUUUGAACUAAUUGCUUAUAUAGUUACAAAUACUGAAGCGGAAUUUGAGGAUGAAUUCAAAAAGAAUAAAAUGAGAUUUGAAAUUAAGAAGCCAGGAACCCUCUCUGGCUCUUUCAUAAUGAAGACUCUGACCGAGGAAGACAGCGCUGUGUACUUCUGUGCAGCUAGUCAACACAGUGACACAACCAUGCCUCACUCACAUUCAAAAAGCCUGAAGGUACAAGUAGCGUGUAGAACCACCCCCAUGAAGAUGAAAGAAGAUGA